AUGGGAAAAGCAUUUAUAGGGAGAAAGCACAGAGCAUGGAUAUAUUUGGCGUUAAACUCAGGACAGAAGAAGACACAAACUUUAUCUUGUGGUUUGGGUCCUCCAAUGCUCGUAAAAGUGUGGUUUCACCUGUUACCUCAUAAAGGUGCCAUUGCUGUAUGCACAUCUGAAUCUAUUUACAAUUUGAGAAUACAGGUGAGAAAGAAUGAUUUUCUAUUUUGUGACAUUCGUAUGGUCAAAAUUUUUAUGAAAUCUCGCCACGAAAUUUCCCCUUUCUGAAAAUAUAACAUGAGGAACUUUUUUAAAAGAGUAAAAAAUGAUUUAACUAAUUAUACUUGUGUGCUCCAAAACAAAUCUGCACUCAAUUGUUUGUAAUUGGCUUAGCAGACUGAUUCAGGGGCAGUAAAUUUUAAUAGAUUUCGGUAAUAUUCAGCUAUUUCUACAUUAAUGAAGGGAACUAUAUUAUUUAAAAACACCCCAGAGUAUAAAAGCGUUUAUAGAAGCAUUCAGUAAAAUGUUGCAUUGUAAAUGACCUAAAAUUGUUUUCAUAUGUUAUCAUUUAUUUAUCCCCAGGCAGAUUGUAAGCAACUCAAAGGAGCUGUUUUUAAUCCCCUUUUAUUGCAUAAUAUCAUAGUCCAUGUACAGUGUUCGCUAAAUAAGUGUUGCUAACUGAUCUGGGACUUGAACCUUUUUUAUUUGUUAUUCAAAAGUUGUUUUACAUUUUGGGUGGAAGAAAAAGAGUCUUUAAGACUUACAAUAUUUCUGUUAGAUAACCAGUUUUAAUACAUUCUGAAGAAUUCAAAUGUUGUGGGUAAGUGGACUCAUGUGCUCUAUAUUCCAAGCAUUCAGCAAUGCUCUUCGGCUGUGUCCUAUUUGAUUUCAUUAACCAUUCAGUUAAUAAAGUCAAUAUUCAUCAGCCUGUGGUAGACAACUCUUUUUUUAAAUCCACUUGCUCCUUAUAUAUGACCCUUUGAGGCUUUCCAAACAGCAUCUUCAAUUUUGUCUGUCAUGGCACUUGUUUAGAACUAGAAAAAUCUUUGGUAUAAGCUUG
rnacentral:lncRNA from 1 species